GAAGGACUUCAUUGAGUCCAUCUGCUGCUGAAACAUCGACUCCAUUAGUGACAUGUCAAAACCACUCGAAGUGGUAGUAGAGGGGGAAGGGCCACGGGAUUUUUUUCCCUUUUUGGACGCCCGUUUAGAUUUUGACGGGGGAACCUGCGUCAGGUCCCCUCCCGCCUCACGCAUCUCGCGGUAAAACAGGGUGUCGGCCGCCCGCCUCUUCUGUGCCCGGGGGGAAAAGGCCAGACAAAUUGAACAUGUUUCAGCCACAUGGCCCGUCUUCUCUAGACAGGCCACGCAUUGGGAGUGACUGUCAGCCCGGGGGAUACUUCCCCCACAGACCGAACAACAGGUAAAAGCCUGAAACAAACACGUAAACAUGUUAGUUAACUGUGGCCAGCAGCAGAUAAACACGUAGAAAACAUUGAAAAAUACGUGAAGGUUACCACGGAAAGUAAUAGUUGGUUUUAAAACGCAA